UACGGGGGGUGCAAGCGUUGUUCGGAAUCAUUGGGCGUAAAGCGCGUGUAGGCGGUCUUGUAAGUCAGAUGUGAAAGCCCUCGGCUUAACCGAGGAAGUGCAUUUGAUACUGCGAGGCUAGAGUGCGGUAGAGGGGAGUGGAAUUCCUGGUGUAGAGGUGAAAUUCGUAGAUAUCAGGAGGAACACCUGUGGCGAAGGCGGCUCCCUGGACCGUUACUAACGCUGAGACGCAAAAGCGUGGGGAGCAAACAGG
rnacentral:rRNA from 1 species